GUUCGAACGCACUUUUCGUUAAUUGAUUUUUGAGAUGCUUGCAUCGAAGAUGAUUUUAACUAUAAAGUGAGUGGCGAACGGGUGAGUAACACGUGGGUAACCUGCCCAGAAGUGGGGGAUAACACCUGGAAACAGAUGCUAAUACCGCAUAACAAAAUUAACCGCAUGGUUGAUUUUUAAAAGAUGGCUUCGGCUAUCACUUCUGGAUGGACCCGCGGCGUAUUAGCUAGUUGGUGAGAUAAAGGCUCACCAAGGCAGUGAUACGUAGCCGACCUGAGAGGGUAAUCGGCCACAUUGGGACUGAGACACGGCCCAGACUCCUACGGGAGGCAGCAGUAGGGAAUCUUCCACAAUGGACGCAAGUCUGAUGGAGCAACGCCGCGUGAGUGAUGAAGGCUUUCGGGUCGUAAAACUCUGUUGUUGGAGAAGAACGUGUGUGAGAGUAACUGCUCAUGCAGUGACGGUAUCCAACCAGAAAGCCACGGCUAACUACGUGCCAGCAGCCGCGGUAAUACGUAGGUGGCAAGCGUUAUCCGGAUUUAUUGGGCGUAAAGCGAGCGCAGGCGGUCUUUUAAGUCUAAUGUGAAAGCCUUCGGCUUAACCGAAGAAGUGCAUUGGAAACUGGGAGACUUGAGUGCAGAAGAGGAGAGUGGAACUCCAUGUGUAGCGGUGAAAUGCGUAGAUAUAUGGAAGAACACCAGUGGCGAACGCGGCUCUCUGGUCUGCAACUGACGCUGAGCUCGAAAGCAUGGUAGCGAACAGGAUUAGAUACCCUGGUAGUCAUGCCGUAACGAUGAAUGCUAAGUGUUGAGGGUUUCGCCCUUCAGUGCUGCAGCUAACGCAUUAGCAUCGCCUGGG
rnacentral:rRNA from 1 species